rnacentral:rRNA from 1 species
GAUGAACGCUGGCGGCGUGCCUAAUACAUGCAAGUCGAGCGAACAGACGAGGAGCUUGCUCCUCUGACGUUAGCGGCGGACGGGUGAGUAACACGUGGAUAACCUACCUAUAAGACUGGGAUAACUUCGGGAAACCGGAGCUAAUACCGGAUAAUAUAUUGAACUGCAUGGUUCAAUAGUGAAAGACGGUUUUGCUGUCACUUAUAGAUGGAUCCGCGCCGCAUUAGCUAGUUGGUAAGGUAACGGCUUACCAAGGCAACGAUGCGUAGCCGACCUGAGAGGGUGAUCGGCCACACGGGAACUGAGACACGGUCCAGACUCCUACGGGAGGCAGCAGUAGGGAAUCUUCCGCAAUGGGCGAAAGCCUGACGGAGCAACGCCGCGUGAGUGAUGAAGGUCUUCGGAUCGUAAAACUCUGUUAAUAGGGAAGAACAAAUGUGUAAGUAACUAUGCACGUCUUGACGGUACCUAAUCAGAAAGCCACGGCUAACUACGUG